rnacentral:rRNA from 1 species
GACGAACGCUGGCGGCGUGCUUAACACAUGCAAGUCGAACGGAAAGGCCCUGCUUUUGUGGGGUGCUCGAGUGGCGAACGGGUGAGUAACACGUGAGUAACCUGCCCUUGACUUUGGGAUAACUUCAGGAAACUGGGGCUAAUACCGGAUAGGAGCUCCUGCUGCAUGGUGGGGGUUGGAAAGUUUCGGCGGUAGGGGAUGGAUGCGCGGCUUAUCAGCUUGUUGGUGGGGUAGUUGCUUACCAAGGCUUUGACGGGUAGCCUGCCUGAGAGGGGGACCAGCCACAUUGGGACUGAGAUACGGACCAGACGCGUACGGGAGGCAGCAGGGGGGAAUAUUGCACAAUGGGCGGGAGCCUGAUGCAGCAGCGCCGCGUGCGGGAUGAAGGCCUUCGGGUUGUAAACCGCUGUCGCCUGUGACGAAGCGUGAGUGACGGUAAUGGGUAAAGAAGCACCGGCUAACUACGUG